rnacentral:rRNA from 1 species
GACGUAGGGCGCGAGCGUUGUCCGGAUUUAUUGGGCGUAAAGAGCUCGUAGGCGGCUUGUCGCGUCGAAUGUGAAAACUCGGGGGCUCAACUCCGAGCUUGCAUUCGAUACGGGCAGGCUAGAGUUCGGUAGGGGAGACUGGAAUUCCUGGUGUAGCGGUGAAAUGCGCAGAUAUCAGGAGGAACACCGGUGGCGAAGGCGGGUCUCUGGGCCGAUACUGACGUGAGGAGCGAAAGCGUGGGGGAGCGAACAGG